ensembl:lncRNA
CACACACACACUUGCAAAGGGAUCUCGUCCACACUCUGGUCCGCACUGACACACCCAAUCUCCGCAGUAUGUAGCUGACAAGAUAGACUAAGCAGAACAGAGUAGGACAUAAGUAAGUUUGGAAAAAUGGGCAGAUGAAUUGGGGAAUGGACAGGGUGAAGGAAGGUUAGAUAGACAGAGAGAGAAAGAAAGCAAUAGAGGAAAUGAUAAGAGAGAGAGAGAGAGAGAGAGAGAGAGAGAGAGGGGGGGACACGUCAUUGCUGGCACACUGCAUCAGAUAAUCCAGAUUAGGGGGCCUAAAAAGAACGGGUUUAAUCUCUUGCCCAGCCAGUAAUACACACACUACUGUCAGCACCAAUCACUCACACACUCCUAAUCCCUGAAGAAGUGCACACGCAGCCCACACAUACAUGCAAAACACACUUUACAACCCCCUUUCAUGCACUUUUUUUGCACACACAUUUAUACACACAUAUACAUGACAACCCCACAAUAUUUUACACAAUUAACCCCUUUUAUUUCAUUUUCAUAUGAGCAUUACUGAUUGAAAUGCAGCCCAGAAGCUCUUCUCAUGCUGUGAAGUGAGAGGGAGUGAGAGGGAACAGCCUCCGUGGCAGAUAUAUGAUUUUCUUCUUCUUCUUCUUCUUUUUUUAUGGUGUUCUGAUAAAAUAACCUGAGCAAAUGAAAAACACUAGAAGGGAGUAGAGUAGUGUCGAACAGAGUUAAGUAGAGUGAAGUAGAAAGGAGUGGUGGAGUGCAGAGUAGAGCAGAACAGUAUACAGUAGAGUAGUUUAGAGUAGAGUAGAGCAGUGUAGAGUACAGUAGAGUAGAGUAGAGUACAGUAGAGUAGAGCAGUGUAGAGUACAGUAGAGUAGAGCAGUGUAGAAUACAGUAGAGUACAGUAGAGUAGAGUAGAGCAGUGUAGAGUACAGUAGAGUAGAGUAGAGCAGUGUAGAGUACAGUAGAGUAUAGUAGAGUAGAGCAGUGUAGAGUACAGUAGAGUACAGCAGUGUAGAGUACAGUAGAGUACAGUAGAGUAGAGCAGUGUAGAGUACAGUAGAGUACAGUAGAGUAGAGCAGUGUAGAGUACAGUAGAGUAGAGUAGAGCAGUGUAGAGUACAGUAGAGUAGAGCAGUGUAGAGUACAGUAGAGUAGAGUAGAGUAGAGCAGUGUAGAGUACAGUAGAGUACAGUAGAGUACAGCAGUGUAGAGUACAGUAGAGUACAGUAGAGCAGUGUAGAGUACAGUAGAAUAGUGUAGAGUAGUUUAGAGUAGAGCAGUGUAGAGUAGUGUACUCUCCUCCAUU